AACCAGGGUUUUAACUAGGGUUUUGAAUCAAGCACAGCUGCUCUUUCUUUUGUGGUCUUCUGCUUUCAUCGAAGCUAUGUCCAUUUUUCUGAGAAAGCUCUCAGUUUCCAAUAGAAACUCUCUCCUUCGCAUCAUAGCAAUCGCUUAUGCCGGGUCGGGUCUUUUGUAUGCCAAUAGCAACUCAAAUUCCAGAGCAAAUGUAGCAGUGAAGGUUCCUGUGGCUCUGCAGGAAUCACUAUCGCUACCAUGGCGAAUUACGCAAUACAUAUUUCCCUACCCUUCAUUACUUUUAUCAGAUCCAUGGCAACCUGGUUUGUUCUUAAAUUUUAUUUGGCAAUAGAUUGUGUCCUAUUUAUGUAUAUAUAUGUUUUUGGGUUCAAUUCAAGCUUGAAAUUGUAGGAAUGCUUCCAUUAUUUUCUUCUAGAGUUGGUUCGGCUCCAUCAUCGGAUAUAAAGAAAGACAAUUCUUUGGGGGCAGUUGGAGGUGACCCCAAACCAUGUUGCAAUUGUUUGGGGAGAGAUACAAUUGCAAAUGCUGCCGCUAGGGUUGGUCCUGCUGUAGUAAAUCUUUCGGUUCCACAGGGGUUCUAUGGCAUUACUAAUGGAAAGAGUAUAGGGUCAGGAACUAUAAUUGAUCAGGAUGGUACAAUUUUAACAUGUGCUCAUGUUGUGGUUGAUUUUCAAGGCAUGAG